rnacentral:rRNA from 1 species
ACUCCUACGGGAGGCAGCAGUGGGGAAUAUUGGGCAAUGGGGGCAACCCUGAUCCAGCCAUGCCGCGUGUGUGAAGAAGGCCUUCGGGUUGUAAAGCACUUUCAAUUGGGAGGAAAGCCUUACCGUUAAUAGCUUUGAAUUUUGACAUUACCUUUAGAAGAAGCACCGGCUAACCCCGUGCCAGCAGCCGCGGUAAUACGGAGGGUGCGAGCGUUAAUCGGAAUUACUGGGCGUAAAGCGCGCGUAGGUGGUUUGGUAAGUCAGAUGUGAAAGCCCUGGGCUCAACCUGGGAACUGCACCUGAAACUGACCGACUUGAGCGCGAUAGAGGGAGGUGGAAUUUCCCGUGUAGCGGUGGAAUGCGUAGAUAUUUGGAGGAACACCGGUGGCGAAGGCGACCUCCUGGACCACUACUGGCGCUGAGGUGCGAAAGCGUGGGUAGCAAACCGGAUUAGAUAUCCCGGUAGUUCACCCGAUGUCGCUACACGUUGAAUUCCUUAGUUAUCUUUCGUGCCGCAGCUAACGCACUAAGUUGACCGCCUGGGGAGUACGGCCGCAAGGUUAAAACUCAAAUGAAUUGACGG